UUCUACUAUAACUUGUGAACGUCCACCCAAAUGGCAAUCACCAGAUACGUAAAUGGGUUGGAAACCUCCCGGUUUGGUCAACUUUCAAACAUGGCCUUUAUUGUGAAGGAUUUGGAAAGCAAGAAUACAACGCUGGUUGCAGUUGUACACGGCUUUGGAAAAUCCUUACUUCAUAAGUUCAUAGGAGCGGAAUUAGGCCAUUCAGCCCAUCAAGUCUACUCUGCCAUUCAAUCAUGGCUGAUCUAUCUCUCCCUCCUAACCCCAUUCUCCUGCCUUCAACUCAUAAUCCCCGACACCCCUUUUACUCAAGACUCUGUGCAAACUCCGCC